AGUGACCGUGUCACUACUCCGGGGAACAACGCAACCACGUGACCGUGACACUUCUCUGAGGGACAACGGAGCAACCGUCGUCGCUACGUUUGAUCUUCGGCAGUUAUAUUCACCAGGUGCGAUUCUAGCUUGCGAGGGUGGCGCGGCUAUUAAAUCAACUAAUUGGCAAUGUUAAUUGUUUUAGACUGAUUGGCAAGACAAGGGCCGCUGCCACAUUGGGUCGUCGUCGUGACGCAAGCGGAGAGGACUGGGCGGGGCGAUUGUAGCUUUAGGCUUAUAGCUAACACUAGGAAGGGUAGCUCGCGCUGUGCAGGCUCCAGCUGGCAGGGGUCCUCUCUCGUUUGCGACACGGACAUCGGCCCAUUCCGAGUGCUAUUGCUUCCCGGUCAUAAUUUCGCGUGUCGGUGCGCGCGAAAUGUGGAAGUAAAUUGCACCCGGAAUUAAUUAGUGUCAGGUUUCUUCCAGCAAAACAGAAGAAGAACGGACGUUGCCUACGGUCUGCAGCGCGGCGCGCUGCAGCGAAGACAGUGGUGGGUGGCCGCAUUUUUUUUCCUUAUGUUCUCGUCCCUAAUGCGGUGUCACGCCGUGCUUUCGUCGCUUGACAAGCCAACCAUCGUGGACUAGUCCCAUCGCCCACUCCAGCGCAAUGACGCUUGGUGAGUACGUGCUUUCUGGUUAGUUUCGUCAUUUAACAAGUGCCCCCCCCCCUUUUUUUUAGGUUUCAGAUCUGCAACCUGUGCCUUGGCCCCUGGCACAUGUUCCUGCACCCGCCUGUCGUCCAGUAGCUGAUCGGGACUUCACUUCUGGUGUCCUGGUGAAUGAAGAUGCCUGCAAUAGCCACCCUGCAGAACGUUCACUGCACUCCACAUCCUUUGGUGCCAGACGCACGCGACGGAUUUUCCUGCACCCGGCCCUCUCUCGCACAGAUGAUGUUCAGCACCUGUCGUCCCACGGCUCAUCGUGUCACUUCUGUUCCUGCCUCACUGCUAUUGGUGUCCUGGUGGAUGAAUAUGCCUGCAAUACCUGCCCUGCAGAACGUUCACUGCACUCCACAUCCUUUGGUGCCAGACGCACGCGACGGAUUUUCCUGCACCCGGCCCUCUCUCGCACAGAUGAUGUUCAGCACCUGUCGUCCCACGGCUCAUCGUGUCACUUCUGUUCCUGCCUCACUGCUAUUGGUGUCCUGGUGGAUGAAUAUGCCUGCAAUACCCGCCCUGCAGAACGUUCA